rnacentral:rRNA from 1 species
UACGUAGGGGGCAAGCGUUGUCCGGAAUCAUUGGGCGUAAAGCGCGUGUAGGCGGUUCGGUAAGUCUGCUGUGAAAGUCCAGGGCUCAACCCUGGGAUGCCGGUGGAUACUGUCGGACUAGAGUACGGAAGAGGAGAGUGGAAUUCCUGGUGUAGCGGUGAAAUGCGCAGAUAUCAGGAAGAACACCAAUGGCGAAGGCAGCUCGCUGGGACGGUACUGACGCUGAGACGCGAAAGCGUGGGGAGCAAACAGG